ACGGGGGAUGCGAGCGUUAUCCGGAAUUAUUGGGUUUAAAGGGUGCGUAGGUUGUGUGACAAGUUGGAGGUGAAAGGCAGGGGCUCAACCAUUGGAAUCCUGGCGAACUGGGAGACUUGAGUGUAGGAUGGGAAAGUGGAAUUCAUUGUGUAGCGGUGAAAUGCGUAGAUAUUAGUAAGAACACCAGUUGCGAAGGCGACUUUCUAGACUGAAACUGACACUGAGGCACGAAAGCGUGGGGAGCAAACAU
rnacentral:rRNA from 1 species